UACGUAGGGUGCAAGCGUUAAUCGGAAUUACUGGGCGUAAAGCGUGCGCAGGCGGUUCUAUAAGCCAGAUGUGAAAUCCCCGGGCUCAACCUGGGAACUGCAUUUGUGACUGUAGAGCUGGAGUACGGCAGAGGGGGAUGGAAUUCCGCGUGUAGCAGUGAAAUGCGUAGAUAUGCGGAGGAACACCGAUGGCGAAGGCAAUCCCCUGGGCCUGUACUGACGCUCAUGCACGAAAGCGUGGGGAGCAAACAGG
rnacentral:rRNA from 1 species